CGAGCCUUGGAGUCCUCGGGUCCUCGUCUACUUGAUGGUAGUGUGGCACAUCAUUUGCUGCUUAGUUGAACACUUAAACCCACAAACCCCCGCCGGAAAUCGCCGUGAGCCCAUGAGUCCAUGACGUCGAGCAAUGACCCCAAGCCGCGUCCGUAAUUUGGGGAUUUAAAGUCCGAUUUGGGGAUCACAGAUUCACAUGUACAAGUUGUUCUUUUGCUUUUGUUUGUUUGAUUUGGAGAAUUGGAGUUACUUUUGUUAGUUUGUUUGUUUGAUUUUAGGUCUUGACCUUUUUGAUUCAAGGACUUGACAUUUUGAGUUCUUGCCAUUCUGGGUCUUCGUUUUAUGCGUCAACUUUGCAGAUAAAAGUUGGUUGGCUAAAAGAUCUUACAAAUUUCAACUUGGAAAACCUUGACAUUGAAGUUGAUUGCUUUAAUGGAUUCUCUAUGCAGUACACCAGUGCUGGCCACUGCUAGGAUAUGUAGCAACGUUCAAGAAUAUAUACUCCCAUCUGCUUAAGGCAAUUGAAACUCAAUUGGAUUCCCUUGUGAUGCCAACUGAUCAUAUAAGGGAGACUCUGCAAGAAAAGGUCCCCAUCAGAUUAAAUGAUAUGAUAAAUGUUGAGAAUCAGAAGUAUAACUACAAGAACAUAAUGAACUAGAGGAAGUGCCAUAAAAUAUUGGGAUGGUUGGAGAAUAGAAGAAGCAGGUAUUGAAAUAAAACUAAAAGUUUAAAUAACUUUUGUGGUUGAAGAAUCCCCAUCAGAAAGAAGAGGGGAGGAGGAGAAGCUGAAGGGCAGGGCACAUGGAAACAGAAGGCCAUGUGGGGAAGAUUCAGAAAGAGCACUUUCUUUAAUUCAAAUUUGUUGACAGGUGGUGAGGUGGGCAAGCUUAGCAACAAAGGGCAAUGACAUGGAUGGAUCCACCCUAUUCUAAAGGGGGGUACCCUCUAAACUUCCAAUAAAGGCAUGUGAUUGUAAGAGGAGCUUUGUUGUAGGCCACGCUAAUUCAGCAGUACUAUCCCCUUGAGGGUCCCACAAACCUGCCCCAAAAGAGCCUAAACCCAUGUCUAAGGCUAUCAUCACCUCUAACCUCUCGAUUUUAGAUUGCUAAUUCGUAAUUAAUUACUAGUGUUACCAAAUUUUAUUCAUUUCGAUCGGGAGACCUCUUACAUCAAUAUAUUGAUAUAUUUACA